rnacentral:RNase_P_RNA from 1 species
AGGAGAGGAAGGGCGGCCGACGGUAGGGCGAAGGCCCAGCUGAGGAAGUUCCCCCCUCCACGAGAGCGGUGGGCCGCGCGAGCGGCCUGGUGAGAACCAGGGCAAGGACGCAGAAACGACACAGCCCGUGCAAAAGGAUGAUCCGUAAGUCGGUGACGUUCCUCGGGAUCUGGUGAAACGGUGACUCCCCACCGGAGCAAGCCCAAACAGCUGGGAUGACGAUCUCAGGACCGGCGGGUAGGGCGCUUAGUUGAAUGCCGCCUGAAACAGAAGGGGGACUACUAUCCUCACCU